rnacentral:rRNA from 1 species
ACCUGCGGAAGGAUCAUUGUCGUGACCCUGACCAAAACAAACCGUGAACAUGUCACCUAUGCUGCCGGUUGAUGGGCUUGCACCUAUCUCUCGGUCUAGGCCACCGACCGACCUUCUUCAGAAGGGCGGGGUGCCAAAAGAACCCACGGCGCCGUAUGGCGUCAAGGAGAACUAAUGUUGCGUUGCUUGGGGCCUCGUCCGGCUUGCCGGAUGCACCCCGUGCAGCGAUGCUAUGGAAAAUCACAUGACUCUCGGCAACGGAUAUCUCGGCUCUUGCAUCGAUGAAGAACGUAGCAAAAUGCGAUACCUGGUGUGAAUUGCAGAAUCCCGUGAACCAUCGAGUUUUUGAACGCAAGUUGCGCCCGAGGCCUCGUGGCCGAGGGCACGUCUGCCUGGGCGUCACGCCAAAAGACACUCCACCGCAAUCCCGGUCCGGACGUGGUGUUUGGCCCCUCAUUCCAUAGUGUGUGGUGGGCCGAAGAGGCGGCUGCCGGCGGUGCCGGUCACAGCAGAUGGUGGAUGGCACAAGUUAUUCUCGGUGUUGUGAUCCUGACAGCUCCCGGUGAUGUUAUGCCCCGUUGGACCCAUAUGGUUUGGAGCGUAUGUAGCUCGGACCGCGACCCCAGGUCAGUCGGGACUACCCGCUGAAUUUAAGCAUAUCAAUAAGCGG